UGCCAGUGUGUGUGUGUGCCUUCUCUUAAGGAGAAACUGGAAUUGUUGCUACAGAAUAGGAGUGGCCCUAUUUAAACUCAUUAUACUGAGUGCCCGAUCACGGCGAGCAGGCAACAGCAGAAACAAUGGAGAUUCCUGGAUGCUGUGAGGAACCCUGCCAAGGUAGCAGCUCGGGGUCAGGAAUCUGUAGCUGCAUAGGGAUCCCUGGCUGUCAGAUUAGACCUGCCCAGAUGUGGGCCUCUGGAGGGUCAUUUUAUUUUAGCUGCUUCCUUCCCUCUCUUGCUGCCUUAUGUCCUGCUAAGGACUGGAUAAUGCAGUUCAUGCAGUUCCGGAAAGGAAUCUGACUGGCCUCCAUUCCCAUCAGGGUUGGGAGACGAUGAAGCCGUUUGCUUUAUUUUGGGGACCUGUGUUUCUAUAGCUAAACAAGGGACCAGUAUGGGAGCCGAGGGACAACAGGAUGGUCUGAGAUCGUUAUUCUUAGACAUGUUCUCUGCGUUGUCCUAUCAAGCUCUGUGCCUGGGACACUGACCUCCACUAGGGCCACUGUCCCAUUUGCUUUUCCUCAUUCUUUGCCAGGAGAUGCUGGCAUGGGGCCAGAGAGCAGAGGAGAGCAAGGCCAGGUAUUCCGAUGCCCUCCUUCUCUGUCAUUUUUGCCUUGCCACGGGGCAGGCAGUGUUACAGCUGCCAGCCAGCGAGGCUGAUCUCGUGUGAUUCUAGCUUUUGCUAAGCCAGUAGUAGCAUGACCUGCCCCCCCCACCCUCUUCCCAGAGUCCCUGCCACAGACUUUCAGUGGUCAGGACUUAUCCCUAAGUGACACCUCAGCACGUGUCUCUUCUGUGCUAACGGUGUCACAGCUCUGUAAGUUGUUCCUGUGUGCAAUGCUCUUCAGCUAGGCACUUUGAAGGCUCCAUGUUUCUUUCCAAUACUCCACAGAUCAGCAGGUAAAGCGGUUGAGAGGGAGGGUAGAGGUCAACUAUUGUGAAAACAUGGGGAAGUCUGAAUAGGCCGGAAUGAGAUGCAUGUUCUGAGACUGUCCAAAGCAAAAACAACGAUGAUCGUUAUUGAUCGGAUCUCUCUCUCUUCUUUUUCAUUAUCUGUGAGAAAAAUCUUAUGAAACGGGGUCAUAGGCACCAAAGUUAAGGGGUUUUUCUAGGAUGCAGUCAAUCGGUGCUGAAACUGAAACAAACUGGAACUGCUACCUUAAUCUAUAGCGAUUGUCAGGACCUCGUAGUCCUGCCCUGCUAUUACAGUGGAGGGAGCAUUCUAGAUAAUGAGAACGCUGGUCUGGCACCGAGUUCCUGCCCUAUCUAUCCACAGUAAGUGGCUGACGUCAUUUGUUCUCCCAGCAUUCUUUAAGCCCAUUCUUGAAAUUCAAGUGUCUCUUUUAACAUAUCUAUCAAAAAUCUUUGUGUAUAACUUAUCAAUUGAUCAUUUAGAACACCCAGCGAGAAUAUCUCUGUCACGCUUGAAUUAGAACUUUGGCCUCAAAUUCAGAAACCGAACUGGACCAAGUGAAGCUUCCAGAACCUCUAUGGCGCCCACAGCCGUGGCCCUUACUGACAUAUUUGUGGGUAGCCUUCUGGGUUCCCUAGGGCUUGGCUGAGCCCCUGAUUUCGGUGCUCUGUCUCCUGCUGAAACAGCAUCAAAGACUGUCAGUGUGUCAGGAGAAAUACAGCGCAUGCCUCUGCAACAUGAACAAUCUGCUGGGCAUUCUUCUUGGUUCUUUGCACAUUUUAGAAUUAGUAUUAUAUGUAUUUUCUAUAGACACUGCCCUAGCUUUGUUAAGCCUUUGAAGACAGGGAAAUCUUCGGCCCAACUGACUAACCCAGUAGCAUGAGAACAAGGUACAAGGCACAACCACAUGUGCAAGAUUUGAAUGAAGGCUCGCCUUAUCUCUGUGAUACAUUUAUUUUUUUAACCUAUUUCAAUGACUUGUGCCUAGUGGAAAUCAGGAACUUAGCACACAGCGGAUACUUAGUUUUGGCUUUGUUUAUUACACGUCAGUCCCAGUGUGGUGAAUAUAAGUGCAAAGGGGGGGACAUUUCUAUCCCAGACCCCAAUCCCUUUAUUCUUUUCUUCCAGGCCCCAUCCAUCUCCUAAGCAAAAGCUUCUUCCUUGAGCCCAUGGAGAGCUUGGGUCGCCUCCUGAAGGAGUGAAAUCCGGGAGCGCCCUCUAGAGGACAGCGGGGCUCAAAACCUCAGCUCACAAGAUGUGUGCAGUUAAUUUGUUUGUUCCUCCAGAGAACUGCAGAACAAGCCACCUAUGGUCUUGAGACCUCAGCAGACACCAGGGGAAAAAGGCAGGAAGAGUCCCUAAUGUGUAAAUGUGCCUUGCAGCUGGUGGCAUUCUCUACUGAAGCCACAGUCCCUGCACAAAUGUCCCUUGAAGAGCGGGGAGCGUAUUGAUGUCCUUGACUGAUUUCACCAACCCUUCUGUUGAACCACGGAUGCUGAAAGCCAGGGUCUGAGUCGGGUGUGGAAAGAACAAACCUGAAGGUACAAGAACGAAGUUCAACUGACUUUAGGAAGCAACUAAUUCCUAUCCAGGUCCUUCUUCAGCAUGGAUGGGCUUCCUCCUAGGAGCCAACAUGACCCCUCACCUUUUGCUUUCCUUCUCCUCCCAUGUGAAAAGCCAUUUGGAGAGUUUGGAAGAAGGAGCCUUGUGUACUCAGCUCAACCAGGUAAACCUGUUUCUGUACGCCUUCGGGGAGAAGAUACCUGGUUUGCGCUCCUCGCUGUAGGGUAACUAUUCUGUCUUGCUGAGUCAGGGACUGGAUUCUGGAGGAGGAGGUGUUUUUAGUUCAACUCAAGAAUCUACUGCAGGCAUGUUUGGUGGUAAGUGAAGUGGAGUUGGUUAUUAUUAUAGAAUCACUACCAGAGCUGACCCCAUGAUGGACGUGUGGCUCGGGUGCUCAAUGUAUUGGUUGGGAAAAAAAUCUAUUGAAAUUCACAGGCAUCCCGUUGUUUUAGAAUUUUCUCCUACAACCCAGUUUUUUUUAAAAAAAGAAA